UACGUAGGGAGCAAGCGUUGUCCGGAAUCAUUGGGCGUAAAGCGCGCGUAGGUGGCUUCGUAAGUCCGUUGUGAAAGUCAAAGGCUCAACCUUUGAAAGCCGAUGGAUACUGUGAAGCUAGAGUACGGAAGAGGCGAGUGGAAUUCCUGGUGUAGCGGUGGAAUGCGCAGAUAUCAGGAGGAACACCAAUAGCGAAGGCAGCUCGCUGGGACGUUACUGACACUGAGGCGCGAAAGCGUGGGAGCGAACAGG
rnacentral:rRNA from 1 species